GAUGAACGCUAGCGGCAGGCCUAAUACAUGCAAGUCAAGGGGAUAGCAAUAUCACCGGCGGACGGGUGCGUAACGCGUACACAACGUGCCCAAGGGCGGAGGAAAGCGGCGGGAAACUGCCGGUAAUACUCCAUGGUGUUGUUGAGUGGCAUCACUUAACAACUAAAGUACAAGCGCCCUUGGAUCGGUGUGCGUUCGAUUAGCUAGUUGGCGGGGUAACGGCCCACCAAGGCUUCGAUCGAUAGGGGGUGUGAGAGCAUGACCCCCCCACACGGGUACUGAGACACGGACCCGACUCCUACGGGAGGCAGCAGUAAGGAAUAUUGGACAAUGGGCGGGAAGACCUGAUCCAGCCAUGCCGCGUGAAGGACGAAGGCGCUCAGCGUUG
rnacentral:rRNA from 1 species